rnacentral:rRNA from 1 species
UACUAGAGUAGCACUCGCAUAUCAAUAAGCGGAGGAAAAGAAACUAACAAGGAUUCCCCUAGUAACGGCGAGUGAAGCGGGAAGAGCUCAAAUUUGAAAUCUUAAAGGGUUUCCCUUUACGAAUUGUAGUUUAAAGAAGUGUUUUCUGUUGAGGUUUUGGUAAAAGUUCUUUGGAAUAGGACAUCAUAGAGGGUGAGAAUCCCGUAUUUGACCUUUACUUUCAACUUUGUGAUACACUUUCAAAGAGUCGGAUUGUUUGGGAAUGCAGUCCAAAAUGGGUGGUAAAUUUCAUCUAAAGCUAAAUAUUGGCGAGAGACCGAUAGCGAACAAGUACCGUGAGGGAAAGAUGAAAAGAACUUUGAAAAGAGAGUUAGACAGUAGCGUGAAAUUGUCAAAAGGGAAGCGUUUGACACCAGUGUUGUUUUUCUGAAAAUCAAUUAAAGAACUGUUUAUGCUAAGUUGUUUAGACCUUAUCAGCUAACUGUUUAGUUUUGAGCUUUUCUUUAAUGCACUUUUCAGUUAACAAGUCAACAUCAAUUUCUUUUGCUGUAAAAAAGCUUGAGGAAGGUGGCUUGAGAUUCGUCUUAAGUGUUUAUAGCCUCUUGCCUAUGCAGUCGGAGAGAUUGAGGUCUGCAGCGUAGAUCCUCGGGGCUAAAUGCAUUUGUGCUAAGUUAUAAGCAUUUUAUAGACAACUUGUUGACUAUGAUUUGUCUUGUAGCUUACUCGCUUAUGUUAUUUUACCUACGCUUAGGAUGUUGAUAUCGCGCUCUCACUG